rnacentral:rRNA from 1 species
UACGGGGGGUGCAAACGUUGCUCGGAAUCAUUGGGCGUAAAGCGCACGUAGGCGGUCCAGUAAGUCGGGUGUGAAAGCCCUCGGCUCAACCGAGGAAGUGCAUUCGAAACUGCUGAACUUGAGUAUGGAAGAGGGUCGCGGAAUUCCCGGUGUAGAGGUGAAAUUCGUAGAUAUCGGGAGGAACACCAGUGGCGAAGGCGGCGACCUGGGCCAAUACUGACGCUGAGGUGCGAAAGCGUGGGGAGCAAACGGG